UGGGGAAUAUUGCACAAUGGGCGCAAGCCUGAUGCAGCCAUGCCGCGUGUGUGAAGAAGGUUUUCGGAUCGUAAAACUCUGUUGUUAGAGAAGAACAAGGACGUUAGUAACUGAACGUCCCCUGACGGUAUCUAACCAGAAAGCCACGGCUAACUACGUGCCAGCAGCCGCGGUAAUACGUAGGUGGCAAGCGUUGUCCGGAUUUAUUGGGCGUAAAGCGAGCGCAGGCGGUUUCUUAAGUCUGAUGUGAAAGCCCCCGGCUCAACCGGGGAGGGUCAUUGGAAACUGGGAGACUUGAGUGCAGAAGAGGAGAGUGGAAUUCCAUGUGUAGCGGUGAAAUGCGUAGAGAUGUGGAGGAAUACCGGUGGCGAAGGCGGCCCCCUGGACAAAGACUGACGCUCAGGUGCGAAAGCGUGGGGAGCAAACAGG
rnacentral:rRNA from 1 species